AGCCUACUCCCUCCGUCCGAAUAAACUUGUCCCUCAAAUUGUUGUAUCUAGCACUACGUUAGUGCUAGAUACAUCCAUUUGAAGGACAAGCUUGGGACAAGUUUUUUCGGACGGAGGUAAUACGUG
rfam:Triticum aestivum genome assembly, contig: Triticum_aestivum_CS42_TGACv1_scaffold_061874_1DL